rnacentral:rRNA from 1 species
AGUGAACGCUGGCGGUAGGCCUAACACAUGCAAGUCGAACGGCAGCACAGUAAGAGCUUGCUCUUACGGGUGGCGAGUGGCGGACGGGUGAGGAAUACAUCGGAAUCUACUUUUUCGUGGGGGAUAACGUAGGGAAACUUACGCUAAUACCGCAUACGACCUACGGGUGAAAGCAGGGGAUCUUCGGACCUUGCGCGAUUGAAUGAGCCGAUGUCGGAUUAGCUAGUUGGCGGGGUAAAGGCCCACCAAGGCGACGAUCCGUAGCUGGUCUGAGAGGAUGAUCAGCCACACUGGAACUGAGACACGGUCCAGACUCCUACGGGAGGCAGCAGUGGGGAAUAUUGGACAAUGGGCGCAAGCCUGAUCCAGCUAUACCGCGUGGAUGAAGAAGGCCUUCGGGUUGUAAAGCCCUUUUGUUGGGAAAGAAAAGCAGCAGGUUAAUACCCCGCUGUUCUGACGGUACCCAAAGAAUAAGCACCGGCUAACUUCGUG